CAUUGACGUCACUUUGACGCCAGACAGACGCGCGCCCAGGCGCGAGGCUGAAGGAGAGCGAGACACCGGGCCGUUGCCAAGGAACGGGCGGCGCUGACGCGCGCGCUGAUGGAGCCGUCGCCCAGGAGACGGAGGGGCGGUGACGUCAGGGCAGAGGGAGGGAGGGGGGCGCUGAGUCCCCGGACCCCCCGUCCGGAGGAGGGGGGGCAAGGCGCGCUCUGGUGUCACGUGACCGCGUCCCUUCUCCCGGCGGGGUCGCCCCCUGCCGGCGUGGCCGGUGCUCGCGUCAGCCUCUGGCGCGCGGAGUGCCGGCAGCCGUUACCCGUCCCGCGGCCGUCCCGCGGCGGGGGGCGAGCCGCGCGCGCCUCCCCUCAGCGCCCCGGGCCACCGGCAGCCCGCAGCCCGCCCCGGGCCACCCGCAGCCCCCCUGCCCUGCCGGCGGCUCGGCGGAGGCUGCGAGCGCCGCGCUAACCCCGCACAAGCGGGGCUGCCGACCCCGCCGCAAGCGCCUGGCCGGUCCUGGUGACCCCGGCCCUGCCGGCUGGGGUGCCGGGCCCCCGCUACCCCCUCCCAGCCACCAGGCAGCCUUCGCUCCGUGUCGCGGGGCCACCGACGGGGGCUGUCCCGCCGUCAGUAAGGGAAGCGUGGCGGCAGCGCUGCGGGGGGCAUUUUGUCCUGCCCUCGGAGCAAGCCGGAGGGCUGUGGCCGCCCACCCGUUGCACCGGUGCCCCCGGCGGUAUGCGGACCCGCCAGCCCCCGGCCAGGCCGCCUCCCUUGCCGGUGCUUCCGGGGCGUGAUGGAGGGGAGCUGCCGGGGGCUGCUGACCACCCACCCCCUCGGGCACACGAGGCUGGGGCCAGCCCAGCGUGGGGCCAGCAACCCUCUGAGUCCACCAGCUGCACACAGGCAGGACGGGAAGUAGUAAUAGAGAGACCAUAUAUAUGUAUAUAUUUACACACACACGUACGCAGUCCUGCCAUACUUUUGCAACUUACUCAUACAUUCUGAAUACACCUGCAGAGCUAUUACCUCUGGUCGGUCUGGAAGUGAGGCUUGGGAAGUUACUUUUUUGCACACCAAGGCUGAAGGAGGCUGCUUAGGGAUUGAACCUCAGCGUUCUGGAAGCUCUCGAGAGGUUCCUCUCAAGGUCAGAUGUGAAGCGGCAGAGGCACAGGGUUCAAACAUACAAGUAAUUCUCCAGUUGGCAGUUGGGCUCCUGAGUGGAAGAUGUCUGUCUUAGCCUGAACCCCUAGCCUGACCAUCACAGCCAGUCAUACCCUGGGCAGCAACCUUUCUCUUCCAUCCAGAGGUACCAUGUCAAUUGGAUUUGCCAGACUGCUUGAAAUAAGGUGAUGCCUUGGGUGGAAGACAUACAGCUCUGCUGCACACUGGAGAUUUAAAAGAAAUCAGUACAAUCGAUUUCACCUGCAGUUGGUGGUCUCGUUAGGGUCUGUGGAUGACUUCUAAAGUGCUUAAGAGGGACCCACUACGGGAAGAAAGUACACUUUUUGUCCUUUUAAAUUUACACUAAAGACAGGAUGAGAAAAAUGUGGUGCUCUCUAUAAAUCAAAUUACAUGAUACAUGAGCUGUGUGUCAUCAACAUAUAUCAGGAAACCGUAGUGAAGCAAGCAGGACUUCCUCUGCUUCUCUUAUCUAAUGAACUAUAUUGCUUGUGUUGCCCCCUGCAGCAUGCGUGCUAGCCCUUUGGGAGUCUAGUUACUCUGCAGGCUCUUUCUCCUAGAAACGUGGAGAAGUAACACCUGAAAUUAACCCCCAGACUUUGUUUAUCUUGACCAUUGCACAACAUGGGCUGUCCCUGUGCUUGCUUAGUGCGAGCAGGCGGGCUGGCAGUCUGCAGGGCUCAAAUGGGGCUGGAAGAGGGCAGCGUCUUGCAGCGCUGGUGGUCAGGAGCUGAAGGACAGGAGCUGCUUACACAGAGGCAGUGGUGUGACCCAGGUCAUGGGACUGCUAUGCCAUUCACUGUAAGAGGGGAAUAGCACGCAGCCACCCCGAGCCGUUGUAACAUUCAGUUAGUGCUUACAUAGUGCCUCGAAUAACUCACAUGAAAAGCUAGCUUAUUAUUAUUGUUAUUAUUAAGUUAACAGUAUAUUCUCUGUGGAGCUCAUGAAGAGGAGGUGACGCACAAACAGCACAUACAGUAGCAACUGCAUGUGAACAGUGCCCCAGGAGUUAUAAAGAAAAGAAUGACUUUAAUAAUGGUUCCUCUGCUGUGGUGGGAUUUUCCUCCCUUUAAUUAUGAUUGCUCUUUUCAUUUGAAAUUGAUUGUUUUAGGAUGGCAAACAGAACUGGUCUUUUUAGAAAGAACACUCAAGACAGACAGCCCCAGUUAGGAGUGUAACAUUUUUAUUUCUUUUAAAAGGAGUCAGAAUUUAGAAGUCCUUUCUUCCCAAAUGGGAAGAAGACGACUGCAUUUGGUGCUCUCCCUAACAUCUCACAAUUUUUCCAUCCUAAGGUGGAUACCUGUGCUAUGGAACUGCCUCGAGAGUGUAAGAUAGGGGUCCUCAAACUACAGCCCGCGGGCUGGAUACGGCCCCCCAGGCUCCUCAGUCCGGCCCCCGGUAUUUACAGAACCUCCCUGCCCCCCCCACUGGGGGUUGGAGGGGGAAACCAAGCAGCCGCAGAUGACUGCCUGCCACUUCAUCCGCACGCCAGCCCACUGUUUAAAAAGUUUGAGGACCCCUGGUGUAAGACCUCACCAGAGGGCUACACUGAGGAGAAUCCACCGUCCUGAUUUUAAUUACCUGCAUUAGAUGGAAGAGGCAAGAAGAACUGGCAAAUGUUUCUGCCUGUGGAAGGUACUUACAGACACCUCCAAUCUCUAGUCCAGAGGGUGGGGUACAUACAGCUUCUGCAGUGGGGGAGGGACCACAUAAUUUUUAAGAGUUGUAACACUAUUGUAUGGGGUGUUGAGAGUUAAAUUAAAGACCUCCGGCAUCUAUUAUUCUCAGCAA